UCCCUGCUGAUCAUGCAGCCCAAGAAGAUGAGAAGAGUCUUCUACUCAUGUAAUAACCAAACAACACGUCUUCAGAUGAGACUAACUCCUGUUUCCUCACUGAAGUCACUAAGUUGGCCUGCAGCAAUUUCCACUGACUGCAUGGCCCAACUCUCUCGAGUGGUGGCACUGUCAACAUUCCCACGGCAGACAAGGAGAUAAGACAACUACAAGCUUUGCUGUCCUCAUGUGAACUGAAUAACAGACAUGCAGUGACCAAUCACCAAUGAUUUUGAGAGAAGAAACAUGUUUAGUCACUGACCAUGACAUUCAUCUUUAUUUAUGUGGUGAUUCAUGGAUUGAAGAGCUAGGGGCGAAAUUUGUAUUUUGUACAAUUACAGUUAAUAUACCAUAGUAAUUGAAAUUCGAACUCAUUUUAGGGGAUUGGUGUUAACUAAACCACAGUAACUGAAAUUCGUGCAUGUUGGAACCAUUCAAAGAAAGGAUUGUCUGUAUACUUUUAUAUGUUUUGUUAAUCACCUCUUUAAAUUUGUCUGCUAUGAAAAUGUACAUAAAUUAAAAUUUAAACUA